GUCGAGAAUCUUUCACAAUGGGGGCAACCCUGAUGGAGCGACGCCGCGUGGAGGAUAAGGUCUUCGGAUUGUAAACUCCUGUCAUGCGUGAACAAGGUUGCUUGGUUAAUACCUGGGCAAAUUGAUGGUAACGCAAGAGGAAGAGACGGCUAACUCUGUGCCAGCAGCCGCGGUAAUACAGAGGUCUCAAGCGUUGUUCGGAAUCACUGGGCGUAAAGGGUGCGUAGGUGGCGUGGUAAGUCAGACGUGAAAGCCCGGGGCUCAACCUCGGAACUGCAUCCGAUACUGCCAUGCUAGAGUACUGGAGAGGUGACUAGAAUUCUCGGUGUAGCAGUGAAAUGCGUAGAUAUCGAGAGGAAUACCAAAGGCGUAGGCAGGUCACUGGACAGUUACUGACACUGAGGCACGAAGGCCAGGGGAGCGAACGGGAUUAGAAACCCUAGUAGUCC
rnacentral:rRNA from 1 species